AGGUUCGCCGGAUUUGUUGCCGCCGACCGGUUUGGGUUAACCGGUCGGUUUAAAUUGAUUUAAUCCGGUUGAAAUCGAUUUGGUCUUGGUUUAGGUUAACCGGUUGGUUUAAAUCAAUUGAUUCUCGGUUUAGGAUAACCGUUCAGUUUAAAUCAAUUGAUUCUCGGUUAAAGUUAACCGGUCGGUUUAAAUCAAUUGAUUUCUGGUUUAAGUUAACCGGAUCGAUUUGACUGGUUGGACCGUUGACCGUUGACUGUUGACCGUUGACUUUGACCGUUGACCGUUGACUUUGACCAGUUGACCCGAAAACCGUUUUUCUUCGUUCGGACGCCGUUUGACUCGAUUUUUCGUUCCGGUUUCAGAUCC
rnacentral:lncRNA from 1 species